AUGGGAAAUCAAGAGUCAGCUAUUGGGGAGCACAUUCAGCUUCCUCCAAUCAAAGCAGCUGAUACCUUUGACCACUGUUGCCCUUUCACCAAAUUAUGCAACAGAGCAAAGUCGGUUGGUACUGCAGCUACCCACGUGGAAGUAGAAUCACAAGAGAGUGAUCCUGGUUCUUGUUAAAUCUGGUGUCGUGGGUAAAUACGGGAUUGCUGCUGACCCUAGGGACACUGAAAUGGCUGAUGAGCCUAGAGAUCCAGUGCUUCAUGCCCCCACAGAGCUAGAAAACCUGAAAACUUUUGAAUGUGAAGGAAAUCAACCUGAGGAUGCUUUAGACCUGCAAAACAGGUCAAAGGGUAUUAGAGGAGUAGAAGCCAAUUAUGCUUUGAAGCUUGCGAACAAUCCUCCAAAGAGAUCUAAGUUGGAUGAACACAAAGUAGCAAUGCUUGGUAAAAAGCGAGCCAGACAAACUGUGAUAAUUAAUGACGAGGAUGCAAAGCAAGCUGGUAUAAUGACAAUAUCAACACCCAGGAGACAAUCUCGUGGGGCUGGUGAAGUAGCUGCAGGAACACAGAACCAGCUGGCCAUCAGGGACCAGAGGCAAACUGAAAUGAUGGGUCCAGAACGAAGUAAUUCUGCCACCCCAAGGGAUAGAAAUGCAGAUUCCAGUGUUGAUGUUGAAUUGGCAUCUCCGAACUGGUCAAAGAAAAUGAAUGCUGAAAUACCCCCCUCAGAUGGGAACCAACAAUCUGUACCAAGGCAGGCCACUUUGAGGCAAACCAUGGAUUCCAAGCAGUUCAAGGGCCGACCAGUCUCUUCUCAGAGAGCAGAUGUAACAGGGCAGAACAUGGCAGAUCAGAAACGAGCCCACAAGAGGUCUCUUGUUUCCAAGAAAGAAGCUUCAGCAAAUAAUACACAAUAUCAUGACACAUCUGUUGAACGACUUCUACAGGAAGUGACAAGUGAUAAGUUCUGGCAUAAUCCAGAGGAGUCGGAACUUCAAUCUGUUCCUGGAAGCUUUGAAUCUGCUGAGGAGUACAUUAGAGUUUUUGAGCCUUUGCUUUUUGAGGAAUGCAGAGCUCAGCUACACAGUUCUUAUGAGGAAUCUCUUGAGGCUGUCUCAAGGGAUGCACAUGUAAUGGUGCGCGUUAGAACUGUGGAUAGGCGUGAAAGAGGGUGGUAUGAUGUUCUUGUUCUACCAGCACAUGAAUAUAAAUGGACUUUUAAAGAAGGAGAAGUUGCAGUUUUGUCAUUCCCUCGGCCUGAUUCAGCUGCACAGUCAAGUAAUUCUAAUAGGAAGACUGUUGGUUCAAAUGAAGAUGCCGAGUCAGAGUGUGGACGGCUUGUUGGUAGAGUCCGGCGCCAUAUGCCUAAUGAUACACGUGAUCCCAUUGGAGCAAUUAUCCGUUUUUAUGCUGGGAACCCGUCUGAUUCUAGCUGUGAGAUUAAUGUUCUGGGGAAACUCCAACCUCAAAGCACCUGGUAUCUAACUGGUCUCGGUUCUCUCGCAACAACACAAAGGGAGUAUAUUGCGUUGCACGCAUUCCGCCGUCUUAAUGUGCAGAUGCAAAAUGCAAUUCUUCAGCCGAGUCCAGAGCACUUCCCCAAGUACCAAGAGCAGCCACCUGCUAUGCCUGACUGCUUCACUCCAAAUUUUUCUUGUCAUCUCCAUCAUACAUUCAAUGGGCCUCAGCUAUCAGCAAUCCAUUGGGCUGCAAUGCAUACAGCUGCUGGCACAGGCAAUGGAGUAGUGAAGAAACAAGAACCUUGGCCUUUCACAUUGGUACAAGGUCCUCCAGGAACAGGGAAAACUCAUACUGUUUGGGGAAUGCUAAAUGUUAUUCAUCUUGUUCAGUAUCAACAUUACUAUGCUGCUCUGCUAAAAAAACUUGCUCCUGAAAGUUAUGAGCAAGUUGGUGGUAGUGCUAGCAGCACCUCAGAAGCUGUUGCUGCGGGCUCAAUGGAUGAAGUUUUGCAGAGCAUGAAUCAAAACCUGUUUCGCACUCUUCCCAAGCUUUGCCCCAAACCGCGGAUGCUUGUUUGUGCCCCAUCAAAUGCUGCAACAGAUGAGCUGCUUGCUCGUGUUCUAGAUCGUGGUUUCAUAGAUGGUGAGAUGAGGGUCUACCGCCCUGACGUUGCCCGUGUUGGAGUUGAUUCACAGUCCCGUGCUGCACAAGCUGUUUCAGUUGAGCGACGGACGGAACAGCUUUUAAUGAAGGGACGUGAGGAAGUAAUUGGGUGGCUGCAUCAACUAAAAGUCCGUGAACAACAAUUAUCACAAGAGAUAGCACUUCUGCAGAGGGAACUUAAUAUGGUUGCAGAGGCUGGUAGAUCUCAGGGUUCGUUUGGAGUAGAUCCAGACAUGCUUGCUCAAAGGGAUCGUAACCGUGAUAUACUGCUUCAGAAACUUGCUGCUUCUGUGGAAAGCAGGGAUAAAGUACUGGUUGAGAUGUCACGCCUGUUGAUAUUAGAAAGCAGGUUCCGUGUUGGCAGAAACUUCAAUCUGGAAGAUGCUAGGGCUAGUUUGGAAGCUAGUUUUGCCAGUGAAGCGGAAAUUGUUUUUACUACAGUAUCAAGCAGUGGUCGCAAGUUAUUUUCUGCCCUUAAUCAUGGCUUUGAUAUGGUUGUUAUCGAUGAGGCUGCUCAGGCCAGUGAAGUAGGAGUCCUCCCUCCACUUUCACUUGGUGCAGCUAGAUGUGUCUUGGUUGGUGAUCCACAACAGCUCCCUGCCACUGUUAUUAGCAAAGCAGCUGGAACUUUACUCUACAGCAGGAGUCUUUUUGAGAGGUUUCAGCAAGCUGGUUGCCCUACCAUUUUGCUGUCAGUGCAAUAUCGGAUGCAUCCCCAGAUCCGUGAAUUUCCAUCAAGAUACUUCUACCAAGGCCGCCUUACAGAUAGUGAAAGUGUCGCCAACUUGCGCGAUGAGGCAUUCUAUAGAGAUGCAUUAAUGGCACCUUACAUUUUCUAUGACAUCUCGCAUGGGCGUGAGUCCCAUAGAGGUGGGUCAUCUUCAUACCAGAAUGUCCAUGAAGCACAGUUUGCAUUGUGUUUGUAUGAGCAUCUUCAGAAGUUCCUGAGAGCUAAUGGUGGCAAGAAAGCAUCUGUUGGUAUAAUCACUCCUUAUAAGUUGCAGUUGAAGUGUCUUCAGCGGGAAUUUGCGGAGGUUAUGAAUACCGAGGAAGGGAAAGAUAUCUACAUAAACACAGUUGAUGCUUUUCAAGGCCAGGAGCGUGAUGUGAUUAUUAUGUCAUGUGUCCGUGCCUCAAACCACGGUGUUGGUUUUGUUGCAGAUAUACGCCGUAUGAAUGUCGCUCUUACUCGAGCUAGGAGAGCUCUAUGGGUUAUUGGUAAUGCCAAUGCCCUCAUGCAGUCAGAGGAUUGGGCGGCACUGGUAGCAGAUGCAAAGGCGAGAAAAUGUUUCAUGGACUUGAGUAGCAUCCCGAGUGACUUCCUAGCUAUGAACAAAUUUUCAAACGCCCGGGGCCUGAAUUCUUCAAGCAGCACAAGGUACAUGAGGACUAGUGGACCGAGACCGAGGCAUUUCGACAUGCUUCCGGCACCCAGGAUGGGUAUGACGGCCGGUGAGGAUGGCCAUCCCAACUCUGUUGCGAGAAAUGGUAGUUACCGGAAUCUGUCCAAUGAUGUGGGGCAUCCUGGUGAUAGGUCUAGAGAUAAUUUGCAGUUUGGGAGGAUCAGGGGGCCGAAUCCAUCCAAUGAUCCGAGGAGACAAGCCUAAGGAGAACAAAUUGGUGUCUGCAGUUUUUUGCGUGGAGUGGUGCAGCAUGGAAGAAGGAUGAUGAAGCAGGAUGUUGCCUGUUGCUACUAAUCGGAUGCUGUCGUAUUGGGACAUGGGCUAUGGGCUCUUGAUUUUGUCUGGCUGCUGAACAGAUGGCUGCCUCAGGCCCUCGGCGUUGUGGAACCGUGCAGGACGGGGUUACAUGGACCAUAUUUGAACAAGGCUGUCAGCUGGACAGAUGUUGCCUGGCAUUGCUUUAGUCUGCUUUCUAUAGAUUUAUGUAUUGUAUACGCGAGCGGGCAUUUUCAUUUUAAAACCUGAUCUAUAGCAGGUAAAUCUGGGCUAGGUCAUUUUGAAACGCUAUGACGGGUUAGGGCUAAAGGUUUGCGACCAGAUAUGCCAUGUAUGACUGGUUUGCUGUUGUAGACCGCCUGCAUAAAUUCUGUCUGUGUGUAUGUACAUACAGAAAUCCGCAUGUAGAACAAGUCCAUAAUCUGGUUCGAUUAUUCUGUUUGGCAUGGCCGACCUUGGAUCUGCGUCGGUCGAUGCUUCUGUGCUUGCACUGUCUUAA